GAUGAUAGCCCCUGUGGUAAAAAAAUUCGGAUUUAAACCCCUGUGAUCUAAGUCUGUUAGGAUUUAAACCCCUGUGGUCUAAGUCUGUUAGGAUUUAUGCCCUUCUGUUAAAUAAUGUUGACGUGGCUGCCACAUAUAUGCCACGUGGCUGCCAAAUGUCUGCCACGUGGCAAAAAUAAUAAAUUUUAAUUUUUUUUAAAAACCUGAAUUUUUUACAAAAAAAAAAAAAAAAAAAAAAAAAAAAAA
rnacentral:lncRNA from 1 species